rnacentral:rRNA from 1 species
GAUGGGUCGUUGCUGGUUCUCUAGGGAGCAUGUGCACACCUUGUCAUCUUUAUAUCUCCACCUGUGCACCAAUUGUAGACCUUUCAGGUCUAUGUUGCUUCAUUUACCCCAAUGUAUGUUAAUAGAAUGUUGUGCCUAUAUAAUAUAUACAACUUUCAGCAACGGAUCUCUUGGCUCUCGCAUCGAUGAAGAACGCAGCGAAAUGCGAUAAGUAAUGUGAAUUGCAGAAUUCAGUGAAUCAUCGAAUCUUUGAACGCACCUUGCGCUCCUUGGUAUUCCGAGGAGCAUGCCUGUUUGAGUGUCAUUAAUAUAUCAACCUUCUCUUUUUGAGUGGUUUGGAUGUGGGGGUUUGCUGGCCUCUUAAAAGGUCUUGGCUCUCCUGAAAUACAUUAGCAGAACAACCCUGUUCAUUGGUGUGAUAACUAUCUACGCUAUUGAAUGUGAAGGGCAGUUUGGCUUUCUAACAGUCCUUGGACAAGCUCAUCAUUAAUGUGACCUCAAAUCAGGUAGGACUACCCGCUGAACUUAAGCAUAUCAAUAAGCGGAGGAAAAGAAACUAACAAGGAUUCCCCUAGUAACUGCGAGUGAAGCGGGAAAAGCUCAAAUUUAAAAUCUGGCGGUC